UACAGAGGUCUCAACCGUUGUUCGGAUUCAUUGGGCGUAAAGGGUGCGUAGGCGGUCGCGUAAGUCAGGUGUGAAAUCUCAGGGCUCAACCCUGAAACUGCACUUGAUACUGCGUGGCUCGGGUACUGGAGAGGAGACUGGAAUUUACGGUGUAGCAGUGAAAUGCGUAGAUAUCGUAAGGAAGACCAGUGGCGAAGGCGGGUCUCUGGGCCGAUACUGACGCUGAGGAGCGAAAGCGUGGGGAGCGAACAGG
rnacentral:rRNA from 1 species